GGCUUUGAAGGGACUGCGGAGGACAUUA
rnacentral:rRNA from 1 species